AAUCCCGUGAACCAUCGAGUCUUUGAACGCAAGUUGCGCCCGAAGCCUUCGGGCUGAGGGCACGCCUGCCUGGGCGUCACGCAUCGCGUCGCCCCCCUCCCAAUUGAGCACGGGAGGGGUGUGCGGAGAUUGGCCUCCCGUGCGCCUCGGCGCGCGGCCGGCCC
rnacentral:rRNA from 1 species